CGUCUUUCGUUACUUCAAGGAGAUUACGUCCGUCAAUGGUACAGUCGAGGUUACCCUGGCAAGGGGAUACAGAAUAGUUGCCAAUGAAUACUCUCACGGGUGAUGUUGAUGUUGAUGUUGAUGCCAGUAGCAGCGAACAUCACGCUACAGCCCGAGGAAUUUUCUCAUUCAGCUUCCCUUAUUACUCAUUCUGUCUCUCACGUUUCAGAUUCUCCCCAAUCGAUUCAAGGGUCUGCAGCAAAAAGGUCCUUGGACAAGAAUAAUUACGUAGAAAUCGGUCGCUCUCCCUUUGGGAUUUGUCUCGAGGCUUAAAUUCAUCUCAGCACGCAAGAGUAAUUCGCCAAAGUGUCCUAGACACUAAAUACCAGCUUCUGUACAGAGUAUGAAAACUCAUCGCUGCAAAGGUACCAGGCAACCAGGUUUUAAAAUUUUCCACUGCGGCUUUGAACAUAAAUUUCUUUAUUCUUCAUAAAUCUUGCAAGCCGUCCACUAGAUUGCGCAUGAAACAAUUGAUAUAAAGUUUUUUUCCAUUAAAACAGAAUUUAUAAUGUCGAGGUCGAAAGUAUCAGAUUCAAAGC